rnacentral:rRNA from 1 species
GCUUGUCUCAAAGAUUAAGCCAUGCAUGUCUAAGUAUAAAUGUUAUACAGUGAAACUGCGAAUGGCUCAUUAAAACAGUUAUAGUUUAUUUGAUAAUCGAAUUUACAUGGAUAACCGUGGUAAUUCUAGAGCUAAUACAUGCAGCAAUCCCUGACUUAGGAAAGGGUGUACUUAUUAGAUGGAAACCAAUGAGGGGCAACCCUGUAUAUGGUGAUUCAUAAUAAUUUUCGGAUCGAUCUUUGAUCGAUGCAUCAUUCAAGUUUCUGCCCUAUCAGCUUUGGAUGGUAGGGUAUUGGCCUACCAUGGCUUUAACGGGUAACGGAGAAUUAGGGUUCGAUUCCGGAGAGGGAGCCUGAGAAAUGGCUACCACAUCCAAGGAAGGCAGCAGG